CCUAUAAGUAUUUGAACUAGGCUACUAUACUAUCGGUAGCACGGAGCGCUCCGUGCUACCAAGUUGUUUUUGAUAAUGCGGCUUUCAAAUCGACGAUCGGUUUCGUUAGACUUGAUCUACACUAUGAAAAGUAUUUAGAAAUUAAAUUUCAUAAUUUUUCGAUAUCAUUUACCUAUCAAACAAGUAGUCUAAAAUUGAACGGCUGAAAAUAAAAAUCUCAUAAAAAAUGAUGAUAAAAGAUUUAAAUUCAAGAUCAAAUAUACUGAUCUUACUCUAAAUAGUGAAAAUAAUUUUUUAUAAAAUUUUCAUCACAUUUGGAUUGUUUUACACCGUUAAACUCACAAACACACUACAUCGGCCAUUAAAAUUAUCAAUUUUGAGAUCUUUUGAUCACUAGUCAAAUGAUAUCGAAAAAAUCUGAAAUUUAGUUUCUAAAUACUUUCAAUAGUGUAGAUCAAGUUUAACAGAGCUGAUCGUCGAUUUGGAAGCCGCAUCAUCGAAAACAACUUGGUAGCACGGAGCGCUCCGUGCUACCGAUAGCAUAGUAGCCGGACUCUAA
rnacentral:lncRNA from 1 species